rnacentral:rRNA from 1 species
GAGGAAUAUUGGUCAAUGGGCGCGAGCCUGAACCAGCAAAGUAGCGUGAAGGAAGACGGCCCUACGGGUUGUAAGCUUCUUUUAUACGGGAAUAAAGUGCCCCACGUGUGGGGUUUUGCAUGUACCGUAUGAAGAAGGAUAGGCUAACUCCGUGCCAGCAGCCGCGGUAAUACGGAGGAUCCGAGCGUUAUCCGGAUUUAUUGGGUUUAAAGGGUGCUCAGGCGGGGGGUUAAGUCGGCGGUGAAAUUUUGCAGCUCAACUGUAAAAGUGCCUUCGAAACUGGUUCCCUUGAGUGCGGAUGAGGUAGGCGGAAUUUGUGGUGUAGCGGUGAAAUGCAUAGAUAUCAUGAGGAACUCCGAUUGCGCAGGCAGCUUACCAAGCCGUAACUGACGCUCAAGCACGAAGGCGUGGGGAUCAAACA